rnacentral:rRNA from 1 species
UGGUGGAGUGAUUUGUCUGGUUAAUUCCGUUAACGAACGAGACCUCAGCCUGCUAAAUAGUCACGCGAAUUCUGAAUUGGCGGCCGAUUUCUUAGAGGGACUAUUGGUGUUUAACCAAUGGAAGUUUGAGGCAAUAACA